GCUUACGGCCAUACCACAUUAGGCAAGCCCGAUCUCGUCUGAUCUCGGAAGCUAAGCAGGGUCGGGCCUGGUUAGUA
rnacentral:rRNA from 10 species